UGAGAUCUAAUGAAAUCAAAAUGAAUAGGGUUUCGCAAGUUUGUGUGUGAAUUAAGACAUUUAACCUCGGACAACUAGCACAAAGAAUAUCCUAAGUAUAUUUCAAAUACAAACCAUUGAAAUUUCACAGCUUCAACAAUGAGAAAAUACUCCCUAAUUAAGCUAAUAUUCUUCUCGUAAGCCUCUUGUCGUGUGGGGCAGACACCAUCUCAGAUCGAAGAAAAAGCAUUAUACUUUCACUACAUAUGUCGGUCAUUUCACGGUAUCAAAAGAGAAGAUGAAAAAGUCGUCCGAAAAGUUUCUUUAUUAUUUUAAAGCCGUACAAUUUGUACCCCCUCUUUAACUUUUCUCAGCCGUCCCCAAAAUGCGCUGACGUGAAUAAGAUUUUGCUGGUUGUUGUGGUUGGAUGAUUGAUCAUCUUGUUUGAUGUCGGCGACCCAAAAAAGAAACCGAAAUGAAGUGGUAAGCACUUUCAUGCUGUCUAUAAUAAGCUAGAUCCAAAUUGAUGGGCAACGCGGCAUUCCACUUGACUUUUAAAAUGCUUUUAUUUACGUGGGGGAAAAAGCAAGCUAGCUGGAUCAAGUACAUACCUUUGCGUACCGUCUUAAGUUUCAAGCAAUUCUCACGAUAAAUAUGAUCAAUAGGUCGGCAAUUCAAUUUGUUUCUAACAUAUUUUAAUUCGAAU
rnacentral:lncRNA from 1 species